CAAUAGCGUAUAUUAAAGUUGUUGCAGUUAAAAAGCUCGUAGUUGGAGUUCAGAUUGAGCUCGGCCGGUCGGCCUAAUUGGUCAGAACUGGUUGACUCUGUCUUGUUUGUGGAUCCCUCCGGAGUUAACUCUUCGGAUGUGGAGUCCACAUCGUUUACCUUGAAAAAUUAGAGUGUUCAAAGCAGGCGUUUGCUUGAAUAUAUUAGCAUGGAAUAAUGGAAUAGGACGCUGGUUCUAUUUUGUUGGUUUUGAGAACCAGAGUAAUGAUUAAUAGGGACAGUUGGGGGCAUUCGUAUUGACGAGUCAGAGGUGAAAUUCUUGGAUUUCGUCACGACGAACUACUGCGAAAGCAUUUACCAAGGAUGUUUUCAUUAAUCAAGAACGAAAGUUAGGGGAUCGAAGAUGAUUAGAUACCGU
rnacentral:rRNA from 1 species